rnacentral:lncRNA from 1 species
GGAAGGCAGUUAGGCUGCAGUGAAUUCUACAAAGAGGCUAUGGGAAAGAAACCUGGAAAGGUAGGGAGUACCCUUGGCUGUGUACAUUUGAGUAAAGAGAGCACUAUAAAAUCAAAAACCAAUGAAAUGGUUUCCAGAACACAGAACUAUUAAGCUUAAGAAAAGGACAGAAGGAACUGAAGAGAGAGGAACUGUUUUGGAGCAUCACACUUCCACCUCAGAAGAAAUAAGGAAGGAAGGAGGAGGGUGUUCCCACGGCUCUUCAACCAGGCCGGCUCUUCAGCCUACAUCCCCAUCUCAUCAAGUAAAAGGGAUUUUUCAACUGGACCAACCAGAUGGUUUAACAGUGCACUCCCACACCAUUCAACUACGCAAGGGAGAUACACUUAACAUAUGCAGUCGUAUAACACCUACUAACAUUUUCAAACAUUAAACCUUUAAAAAAGAGUUCUAAAGAAAUAGAAGCUUGAAGUAUCAUCUCUCAAGUAUAUAGACACUACUUCAUGGUGUGGUAAUAUAUGCAUAUAGAAGCUAGUAAACACCUCCAGGAGAUGCAAAAGGAAUUAGAACUGCCACAAGGUGCAAGCAAAACCUUGAGGUGAGAAAAUCGAAUUUGGACACCGUUGAGGAGACUAUUGCAGUCAUCCAAGCUCAAGAUGGUGGAGCUUCAUCCUUGAGAAUAACCAAUGGGGAUAGAUUUAAGAGACACUUAGAGUCUGCAGCCAACAGGGCUGAAUGAGCAGAGAGUUAUGAUUCAGAAGAUCAUCUAAAAUUGAACAGCUGCCACUACUGGCAAUAAGUCUACUGCCAUUUGGUAGAUAACCUUCUUAUCACACAGAAAAAUAUCAGUACAGACAAAUAGACCGCAAAGAAAAUGAGACCAUCAGCAAAGAAGAUAAAGAAGUUUGUACAAAGCAACUUUUUAUAAAUGGAUGGCUGUCAGGCAAAAAUAAAUUUCCUGUGGACAAGACCAAGAGCAAGGCAAGAGGAAAAUAAACAUGUUUAAACUA